GACGAACGCUGGCGGCGUGCCUAAUACAUGCAAGUAGAACGCUGAAGGAGGAGCUUGCUUCUCUGGAUGAGUUGCGAACGGGUGAGUAACGCGUAGGUAACCUGCCUGGUAGCGGGGGAUAACUAUUGGAAACGAUAGCUAAUACCGCAUAAUAUUGACUAUUGCAUGAUAGUCAGUUGAAAGGUGCAACUGCACCACUACCAGAUGGACCUGCGUUGUAUUAGCUAGUUGGUGGGGUAACGGCUCACCAAGGCGACGAUACAUAGCCGACCUGAGAGGGUGAUCGGCCACACUGGGACUGAGACACGGCCCAGACUCCUACGGGAGGCAGCAGUAGGGAAUCUUCGGCAAUGGACGGAAGUCUGACCGAGCAACGCCGCGUGAGUGAAGAAGGUUUUCGGAUCGGAAAGCUCUGUUGUAAGAGAAGAACGAGUGUGAGAGUGGAAAGCUCACACUGUGACGGUAUCUUACCAGAAAGGGACGGCUAACUACGUG
rnacentral:rRNA from 1 species